AGCUGGUAUAAACAGGUUCCAGGAGGAGCUCCUCAGUGGGUUCUGCAGCCUCUCCUCUCCUCACACUCCAACCCUGCUCAUCUCUCAGCUGGACAGUAAGGGCCGUUCACACCACACACUGACAACAUGCUGGGGACACUCUGCACUCUCAUCACUGCUCUAACAUGUGUCAGUGGUGUGACUGUGGUGACACAGAAGCCUCCUGUUGUGACAGUGAGCAAAGGAGACACGGCCACUAUGGACUGUAACCUGGGGACUGUUGAUAAUAGAGACGGCCACUCUGGACU